GACGAACGCUGGCGGCGUGCCUAAUACAUGCAAGUAGAACGCACAGUUUAUACCGUAGCUUGCUACACCAUAGACUGUGAGUUGCGAACGGGUGAGUAACGCGUAGGUAACCUGCCUGGUAGCGGGGGAUGACUAUUGGAAACGAUAGCUAAUACCGCAUAAUAUUAAUUAUUGCAUGAUAAUUAAUUGAAAGGUGCAAUUGCACCACUACCAGAUGGACCUGCGUUGUAUUAGCUAGUAGGUGAGGUAACGGCUCACCUAGGCGACGAUACAUAGCCGACCUGAGAGGGUGAUCGGCCACACUGGGACUGAGACACGGCCCAGACUCCUACGGGAGGCAGCAGUAGGGAAUCUUCGGCAAUGGACGAAAGUCUGAACGAGCAACGCCGCGUGAGGGAAGAAGGUUUUCGGAUCGUAAAGCUCUGUUGUAAGAGAAGAAAGGGUGUGAGAGUGGAAAGUUCACACUGUGACGGUAUCUUACCAGAAAGGGACGGCUAACUACGUG
rnacentral:rRNA from 1 species